rnacentral:rRNA from 1 species
CGGCGAGUGAAGCGGCAACAGCUCAAAUUUGAAAUCUGGCCCCCUCGGGGUCCGAGUUGUAAUUUGUAGAGGAUGCUUCGGCGAGGGCUCCCGUCUAAGUUCCUUGGAACAGGACGUCGUAGAGGGUGAGAAUCCCGUAUGCGAUGGGUUGCCCGAGCCAUGUGAAGCUCCUUCGACGAGUCGAGUUGUUUGGGAAUGCAGCUCUAAAUGGGAGGUAAAUUUCUUCUAAAGCUAAAUACCGGCCAGAGACCGAUAGCGCACAAGUAGAGUGAUCGAAAGAUGAAAAGCACUUUGGAAAGAGAGUUAAAAAGUACGUGAAAUUGUUGAAAGGGAAGCGCUUGCAGCCAGACUCGUCCGCAGUUGCUCAGCCGGUCUCCUGACCGGUGUACUCUUCUGCGGCCGGGCCAGCAUCAGUUCGGGCGGUCGGAUAAAGGUCCCGGGAAUGUAGCUCCUCUCGGGGAGUGUUAUAGCCCGGGGCGGAAUGCGGCCAGCCCGGACUGAGGAUCUCGCUUCGGCUAGGAUGCUGGCGUAAUGGCUGUAAGCGGCCCGUCUUGAAACACGGACCAAGGAGUCUAACAUCUACGCGAGUGUUUGGGUGUCAAACCCAAGCGCGUAAUUAAAGUGAACGGAGGUGGGAACCCCUCGCGGGGCGCACCAUCGACCGAUCCUGAUGUCUUCGGAUGGAUUUGAGUAAGAGCGUAGCUGUUGGGACCCGAAAGAUGGUGAACUAUGCCUGAAUAGGGUGAAGCCAGAGGAAACUCUGGUGGAGGCUCGCAGCGGUUCUGACGUGCAAAUCGAUCGUCAAAUUUGGGUAUAGGGGCGAAAGACUAAUCGAACCAUCUAG